UACGUAGGGGGCGAGCGUUGUCCGGAGUUAUUGGGCGUAAAGGGUGCGUAGGCGGCUUUCUAAGUUGGAUGUGAAAACUCUGGGCUCAACCCAGAGACUGCAUCCAAAACUGGAGGGCUUGGGUUCUGGAGGGGAAAGCGGAAUUCCUGGUGUAGCGGUGAAAUGCGUAGAUAUCAGGAGGAACACCGGUGGCGAAGGCGGCUUUCUGGACAGAUACCGACGCUGAGGCACGAAAGCUAGGGGAGCAAACAGG
rnacentral:rRNA from 1 species